UUCUACAGCCAUGCCACCCUGAACUAGCCCUAUCCUGUCUGAUCUCAGAAGUUAAGCAGGGUCAGGUCUGGUUAGUAGUUGGAUGGGAGACCACCUAGGAAGACCAGGUGCUGUAGGUG
rnacentral:rRNA from 1 species